CCGCUGCGGGCGGCGCGGGGGUCGAGUGCGGAGCCCUCCCGGGAGGAUCGCCGAGAGGCCGCCGCGCUUCGGCUUUGGCUGCGCGGCAGCCGCCGAACUUGAACGCUCCUCCGAAGAGUUUCCCCCGCUCCCGUUGGGGUUAAAACCUCGAAACCCGCCCCUGUGUGUUUGAUCUUGUUUGGCUGGUGCCAGUACCUGGCUGUUCCUCCAGCCGGCGGAGUUAGCCACCUGUUCAGCCGGGGGUGGACUCCUGGCCGCAGUCCUCGCCCUGUUUAACAACCUGGAUCUUUGAACUUUUGACACGGCUGUGGAAGGACAGUUGGAGGGUUAUCCAGUAUAUUAAUGUCUUAUUGAUAAUGGCAGAACAUCCACCACUACUGGAUACAACUCAGAUUUUAAGUAGUGAUAUUUCUCUUCUCUCUGCCCCUAUUGUAAGUGCAGAUGGAACACAACAGGU
rnacentral:lncRNA from 1 species